AUGCCAUGGUGAGGACAUUUCUUUAACAACUCUUUAAACCUCUCCCAUGCAUCAGGAACAACUUCAUCAUCCAUUUGUUUAACAAGACAUAUUUCAUUCAUGGACUU